rnacentral:rRNA from 1 species
UACAGAGGGUGCGAGCGUUAAUCGGAAUUACUGGGCGUAAAGCGCACGUAGGCGGCUUUGCAAGUCAGGUGUGAAAUCCCCGGGCUUAACCUGGGAACUGCAUUUGAGACUGCAUUGCUAGAGUAUGGGAGAGGGAAGUGGAAUUUCAGGUGUAGCGGUGAAAUGCGUAGAUAUCUGAAGGAACAUCAGUGGCGAAAGCGACUUCCUGGACCAAUACUGACGCUCAUGUGCGAAAGCGUGGGGAGCAAACAGG